UUGCAUGUGGAAAUUUCUGCUCUGCAUUCAUUUAGAAGCAGGAAUGUGUCCAUAACAUGCUACAUUAAAAAAAACAAAAAAGGAGUUCACAGGGCUACCAGCCUUACAGUAGAGGUUGAGUAGUAGUAUAUUUCUCCUACAUGG
rnacentral:snoRNA from 1 species